rnacentral:rRNA from 1 species
GACGAGCCUGACAAACGUUAUUCGGAAUCACUGGGCUUAAAGGGUGCGUAGGCGGUGCGACAAGUCGGGUGUGAAAUACCUCAGCUUAACUGAGGAACUGCAUUCGAUACUGUCGUGCUAGAGUAAGACAGAGGUAAGUGGAACUGAGGGUGGAGCGGUGAAAUGCGUUGAUAUCCUCAGGAACACCGGUGGCGAAGGCGACUUACUGGGUCUUUACUGACGCUGAUGCACGAAAGCCAGGGUAGCAAACGGG